CCAGAAGGCAAUGAGGAGGUUUCUAUCAGAGAGGUGUAUCAGGUCUACCAUCUCAAACUCUCUCUUCACUAGGUUUCUUGCUGAGAAGCCUCAGGGUUUGGAUUUCUGACACUGGACAUAGUGAGAAAGGAGAUGCCCGAAGGCCCAGCUGGAGAAUGCAUUAACUUGAUUUCUCCACUGAAGU